rfam:Operophtera brumata OBRT01_Sc02432, whole genome shotgun sequence.
CACAAGGCUCUUUUUAGAGCCACCAUGCCUCAAUCUGGAAAUAGCAG